rnacentral:rRNA from 1 species
UACGAAGGGGGCUAGCGUUGUUCGGAAUUACUGGGCGUAAAGCGCACGUAGGCGGGUUGUUAAGUCAGGGGUGAAAUCCUGGAGCUCAACUCCAGAACUGCCUUUGAUACUGGCGACCUUGAGUCCGGGAGAGGUGAGUGGAACUGCGAGUGUAGAGGUGAAAUUCGUAGAUAUUCGCAAGAACACCAGUGGCGAAGGCGGCUCACUGGCCCGGUACUGACGCUGAGGUGCGAAAGCGUGGGGAGCAAACAGGG